rfam:Schistosoma curassoni strain Dakar, Senegal genome assembly, scaffold: SCTD_contig0005063
ACCCAACUGACGAGUCCCAAAUAGGACGAAACGUGUGUCAAACUGCAU